rnacentral:rRNA from 1 species
GAUGAACGCUGGCGGCGUGCCUAAUACAUGCAAGUCGAGCGAACAGACGAGGAGCUUGCUCCUCUGACGUUAGCGGCGGACGGGUGAGUAACACGUGGAUAACCUCCCUAUAAGACUGGGAUAAAUUCGGGAAACCGGAGCUAAUACCGGAUAAUAUAUUGAACCGCAUGGUUCAAUAGUGAAAGACGGUUUUGCUGUCACUUAUAGAUGGAUACGCGCCGCAUUAGCUAGUUGGUAAGGUAACGGCUUACCAAGGCAACGAUGCGUAGCCGACCUGAGAGGGUGAUCGGCCGCACUGGAGCUGGGACGCGGUCCAGGCUCCUACGGGAGGCAGCAGUAGGGAAUCUUCCGCAAUGGGCGAAAGCCUGACGGAGCAGCGCCGCGUGAGUGAUGAAGGUCUUCGGAUCGUAAAACUCUGUUAUUAGGGAAGAACAAAUGUGUAAGUAACUAUGCACGUCUUGACGGUACCUAGUCAGAAAGCCACGGCUAACUACGUG